rnacentral:lncRNA from 1 species
CCAGAGACCAAUAUCCAUCACUAGGAGUCUAUGAAGAGUCGAAAGGGACUCUCCCGGAAUUACCUUGCAGUCCUUGCACAUACCCCUAUCGCUCCUUCUGAAGAGGAGGGAAUCAAUCUGAGUCCUCGCCGCCGAACUCUUGAAGGAGACCAAAUGCUCCUCCCUCUUCUGAAAUGUCGAGUUCGAAAUUAGAAGCUCGGAAGCCCUGGCGAAAUCAAGCAGUGACGUAUCUCCUCCAUUCUUAACCCCAAAGCCUUAGCCACCGUGCACCUCACCAUAACCACCAACAUCAGCCCCAAUAUGACCAUUAAAGUCCCCUCCGAUAACUAACUUCUCAGAUUGGGGAAUACUACUCACCAGAUCAUCAAAGCCCUCCCAAAAG